rnacentral:rRNA from 1 species
AUUGAACGCCGGCGGCAGGCCUAACACAUGCAAGUCGAGCGCGCGGCGGACGGGCGAGUCAUGCAUGGGAAUUGCACAGUCGAGGGGGAUAACAGUUGGAAACGACUGCUAAUACUGCAUACGAAUGGAUUGCCAAGGCGGGAUUAGCUAGUUGGUGAGCUAAUGGCUCACCAAGGUGACGAUCCCUAGCCGGUCUGACAGGAUGAUCAGCCACACUGGCACUGAGACACGGUCCAAUCUCCUACGGGGGUCAGCGGUAGAGAAUAUUACACAAUUGGAGAAACCCUUAUGCAGCCAUGCUGCGUUGGUGGAGAAUGCCUUCGAGUUGUAGAGCACUUUCAACGAGGAGGCGUUACUCGCAGGAGAAGCACCGGCUGACUCCGUACCAGCAGCCGCAGUGAUUC